GACGAACGCAGGCGGCGUGCUUAACACAUGCAAGUCGAACGAUGAAGUUCCUUCGGGGAUGGAUUAGUGGCGAACGGGUGAGGAACACGUGAAGAAUCUGCCCUCCACUUUGGGAUAACUCCGGGAAACCGGGGCUAAUACCGAAUAUUGAAACAUAAGUGGCAUCACUGAGUUUUGAAAGAAUUUCGGUGGAGGAUGACUUCGCGGCCUAUCAGCUUGUUGGUGAGGUAAUGGCUCACCAAGGCGACGACGGGUAGCCGGCCUGAGAGGGCGACCGGCCACACUGGGACUGAGACACGGCCCAGACUCCUACGGGAGGCAGCAGUGGGGAAUAUUGGGCAAUGGACGAAAGUCUGACCCAGCGACGCCGCGUGCGGGAUGAAGGCCUUCGGGUUGUAAACCGCUUUCAGCAGGGAAGAAGCGAAAGUGACGGUACCUGCAAAAGAAGCACCGG
rnacentral:rRNA from 1 species